AGUCAAGUAAUGAAGUGCACAUGGUGGAUGCCUUGGCAGUCAGAGGCGAUGAAAGACGUGACAGCCUGCGAAAAGCGUCGGGGAGGCGGCAAUAUCCUGUGAUCCGGCGAUAUCUGAAUGGGGAAACCCACUUGUCAUAAGACAGGUAUCGUAAAUUUAUUUACGAGGCAAACCGGGAGAAGUGAAACAUCUCAGUAACCCGAGGAAAAGACAUCAAUAGAGAUUCCCCUAGUAGCGGCGAGCGAACGGGGAGGAGCCGACUGAUUAUAAUUUAGAGGAAUGACUUGGAAAGGUCAAUCGUAGAGGGUGAUAAUCCCGUACUCGAAAGGUUAUAAGAAGCAUAUUAAGUAGGGCGGAACACGAGAAAUUCUGUCUGAAGAUGGGGGGACCAUCCUCCAAGGCUAAAUACUCCUGACUGACCGAUAGUGAACCAGUACCGUGAGGGAAAGGCGAAAAGAACCCCUGUGAGGGGAGUGAAAUAGAACCUGAAACCGUGUGCAUACAAGCAGUCGGAGCGGACAUGUUCCGUGACGGCGUACCUUUUGUAUAAUGGGUCAGCGACUUAUAUUCUGUAGCAAGGUUAACCGAAUAGGGGAGCCGUAGGGAAACCGAGUCUUAAUAGGGCGUCUAGUUGCAGGGUAUAGACCCGAAACCGAGUGAUCUAUCCAUGAGCAGGUUGAAAGUGACGUAACAGUUACCGGAGGACCGAACCCACUGUCGUUGAAAAGCCAGGGGAUGACUUGUGGAUAGGGGUGAAAGGCUAAUCAAACUCGGUGAUAGCUGGUUCUCCCCGAAAGCUAUUUAGGUAGCGCCUCGGACGAACACCAUUGGGGGUAGAGCACUGUUUCGGCUAGGGGUCAUCCCGACUUACCAAACCGAUGCAAACUCCGAAUACCGAUGAGUGAUAUCCGGGAGACAGACGGCGGGUGCUAACGUCCGUCGUCAAGAGGGAAACAACCCAGACCGCCAGCUAAGGCCCCAAAUUCCUAGUUAAGUGGGAAACGAUGUGGGAAGGCACAGACAGCUAGGAGGUUGGCUUAGAAGCAGCCAUCCUUUAAAGAAAGCGUAAUAGCUCACUAGUCGAGUCGGCCUGCGCGGAAGAUGUAACGGGGCUCAAACUAGGAGCCGAAGCUGCGGAUUUAAUUGUUUCAAUUAAGUGGUAGGGGAGCAUUGUGUAAGCCUGUGAAGGUGUGUUGUAAAGCAUGCUGGAGGUAUCACAAGAGCGAAUGCUGACGUGAGUAACGACAAAACGGGUGAAAAGCCCGUUCGCCGGAAGACCAAGGGUUCCAGUCCAACGUUAAUCGGGGCUGGGUGAGUCGACCCCUAAGGCGAGGCCGAAAGGCGUAGUCGAUGGGAAAUCGGUUAAUAUUCCGAUACUUGUUUAUGAUGCGAUGGAGGGACGGAGAAGGUUAUGCCAGCUUGGCGAUGGUUGUCCAAGUGGAAGGAUGUAGUUAGGUUUAGUAGGCAAAUCCGCUAGACUAUUAAUGAGAUCUGAUAGCAAGCUGUACUUGUACAGCGAAGUGGCAAAUACCCUGCUUCCAGGAAAAGCUUCUAAGCGAUAGUCAUAAAGAAAUCGUACCCUAAACCGACACAGGUGGUCAGGUAGAGAAUACCAAGGCGCUUGAGAGAACUCUGCUGAAGGAACUAGGCAAAAUGGUACCGUAACUUCGGGAGAAGGUACGCUGCCGAUGGUGAGUAGUCACGCACUACAAAGCUAUUGGCAGUCGCAGAUACCAGGCCGCUGCAACUGUUUAUUAAAAACACAGCACUCUGCAAACACGAAAGUGGACGUAUAGGGUGUGAUGCCUGCCCGGUGCUGGAAGGUUAAUUGAUGGGGUUAGCGUAAGCGAAGCUCUUGAUCGAAGCCCCAGUAAACGGCGGCCGUAACUAUAACGGUCCUAAGGUAGCGAAAUUCCUUGUCGGGUAAGUUCCGACCUGCACGAAUGGCAUAAUGAUGGCGGCGCUGUCUCCAGCAGAGACUCAGUGAAAUCGAAAUCGCAGUGAAGAUGCUGUGUACCCGCGGCUAGACGGAAAGACCCCGUGAACCUUUACUACAGCUUUACAUUGAACUUUGACCUUACCUGUGUAGGAUAGGUGGGAGGCUUUGAAGCAGGCACGCCAGUGUCUGUGGAGCCAUCCUUGAAAUACCACCCUGGUAAUGUUGGGGUUCUAACUCAAGCUUAACAGAGCUGAGGACAAUGUAUGGUGGGUAGUUUGACUGGGGCGGUCUCCUCCUAAAGAGUAACGGAGGAGUACGAAGGUGCGCUCAGAACGGUCGGAAAUCGUUCGAAGAGUAUAAAGGCAAAAGCGCGCUUAACUGCGAGACCCACAAGUCGAGCAGAUACGAAAGUAGGUCUUAGUGAUCCGGUGGUUCUGUAUGGAAGGGCCAUCGCUCAACGGAUAAAAGGUACUCUGGGGAUAACAGGCUGAUACCGCCCAAGAGUUCAUAUCGACGGCGGUGUUUGGCACCUCGAUGUCGGCUCAUCUCAUCCUGGGGCUGAAGCAGGUCCCAAGGGUAUGGCUGUUCGCCAUUUAAAGAGGUACGCGAGCUGGGUUUAGAACGUCGUGAGACAGUUCGGUCCCUAUCUACCGUGGGCGUUGGAAAUUUGAGAGGAUCUGCUCCUAGUACGAGAGGACCAGAGUGGACGAACCUCUGGUGUUUCGGUUGUGACGCCAGUCGCAUUGCCGAGUAGCUAUGUUCGGAUGGGAUAACCGCUGAAAGCAUCUAAGCGGGAAGCCCACCUUAAGAUUAGAUUUCCCUAAAGAGCCGUUGUAGACUACGACGUUGAUAGGUUGGGUGUGGAAGCAUAGUGAUAUGUGUAGCUAACCAAUACUAAUUGCUCGUUUGGCUUGACUAU
rnacentral:rRNA from 1 species